GCGAGAGUAACAAUUUUGCUGUCCAGUAGCGAUCAGUCGGUGCGCUAGGGUUCAAGCGACGAAGUACACAGAUUUUCCAUUGGCACUGAAUAAUUAGUAAUAUUUUUUUCCUUUUUGUGAAUAAAAAGUAAUACAAAAUUUGCAAUUACAUCAAUAGUUUGGCGAAGUCGAAGGCAUAGAAACUACAAGUGAAAAAAGAAAAAAAAUAGUAAGAGAAAAAACGUUUCGGUGGCGAAAAAUAUUUUUAACGCCAUAAAAGCAAUUUUUUGAAGGUAAAAGUGUGCAUAGAAACAAAAACAAAAUAUUUGAUAUAGAUUUGUGAGAAUACGAUAAGAUAAAAGUCAACCAUAAAAGUAAAAACUAUGAAACUGAAAUAAGAAGGCAAUAAAAUAAAUAAAACUUAUAACAAUAAGCACAAAAAACUUUGAAACGUUAAGUAACUGGAGGCAUUGAACAAAAGUACUCAAAAACAUACAGUGCACAUGUAUACAUACCAACAUACGUGCAUAUGUGCAAUCGAAAAGAUGAGAUAACGGGCGCACGAUUAGCCCAUUACCUUAGCAAAGUUACCUAAGUGAGCAGAUCCGAUGAGUCUCCAGCUUAUGACAGAAUUAAGAUAGUCCCUUUCCUGUAUAAUUUGAUAGAUUAAGCUGGUUCCUAUUGCUUGAGACAUUGGUGCGUACACGUACUUUUAAAGUACACACAUAUCUUAUUUUCGGAGGCUCCAGUGCAUGCGUCGACUAUAUACUUACUAGUGAUGUGCACACACAUGCUCAUGUCUAGCCUAGAGCGAACAGAAUAAUCACUAUCCAGAUAGUGCUCGUAUAAAAUAAUGUUGUUGAUUGGAACUCUGAUGGCAAAUGUGAAUAGCAAACGAAGAGAAGCACGGCAAGAAAAAAAUUUCAAAAGCUCAUAAUGCGACCAGUGAGGGCAGUGGUAAUAGCGCAGGGUUGAUGGUAAUCGUAAUCAAGCGGCUGGCAUUGCGACUGGGUAUAUGAAUGAUGAUGAGGACGUACGCUGACAGGUUAGCGUUGAGACCGAGCGACUACAUCAAGUUUAUGAUAAGUGACUAAGCACAAGUGCAACUGCGCAAGCUUGCACUUUAGUUCGCUAGAAUACCUGCUCAAAGAGCGAAAGGGUCUUUGUACACGUUACAUUUGCACGUGCUCGAAUGUGUUAUGUGUAUAUGUAUGUGUUUCUUCUUUGCUAGAUAGGCAAAUUGCCUUUUUGCGACCAAAGGAGGCAAUAGAGAAAUCGCAGUUUGUUUGUGAAUUAACUGUUCAGAAUUAUCUGCUAAAUAUUAAUUUUAACGAAGAGUAAUUUAUAAAAAGUGGCACUGAUUUUCCUUUUCCCAAUAUUUUUAUUUUUUUUUUAAUUAAUUUGUAUAUGGAAUGAAGUGCAAAAAACCACCAGCAAAAAAAAAAAAAAAUAUUAAAAAUCAACGCAACGGC